AUUGAACGCUGGCGGCAGGCUUAACACAUACAAGUCGAGCGGAGAGAGGUAGCUUGCUACUGAUCUUAGCGGCGGACGGGUGAGUAAUGCUUAGGAAUCUGCCUAUUAGUGGGGGACGACAUUUCGAAAGGAACGCUAAUACCGUAUACGUCCUACGGGAGAAAGCAGGGGACCUUCGGGCCUUGCGCUAUCAGAUGAGCCUAGGUCGGAUUAGCUAGUAGGUGAGGUAAUGGCUCACCUAGGCGACGAUCCGUAACUGGUCUGAGAGGAUGAUCAGUCACACUGGAACUGAGACACGGUCCAGACUCCUACGGGAGGCAGCAGUGGGGAAUAUUGGACAAUGGGCGAAAGCCUGAUCCAGCCAUGCCGCGUGUGUGAAGAAGGUCUUCGGAUUGUAAAGCACUUUAAGUUGGGAGGAAGGGCAGUAAGUUAAUACCUUGCUGUUUUGACGUUACCGACAGAAUAAGCACCGGCUAACUCUGUGCCAGCCGCCGCAGUAAUAC
rnacentral:rRNA from 1 species